AUUCAUCAGAGGAAGAGGAAGUGGACUUGCAGACGGCCCUCACAGGCUUUCAGACCAAACAGAGGAAAGUUCUGGAGCCGGUUGAUCAUCAGAAGAUCGAGUACGAAUCCUUCCGCAAGAACUUCUAUGUGGAGGUGCCAGAGCUGUUCAGGAUGAGCCCUGAAGAGGUGAACGAGUACCGUCUGGAGCUGGAGGGAAUCACCGUCAAAGGCAAAGGCUGUCCGAAGCCCAUCAAGACGUGGGUGCAGUGUGGGAUAUCCAUGAAAGUGCUGAACGCGAUGAAGAAACACAACUAUGAGAAGCCGACCCCGAUCCAGGCCCAGGCCAUCCCAGC